rnacentral:lncRNA from 1 species
AAGGAUUUAUAUAAUUCCCUUUGGCAGAAUUUAUCUUGUGUUAUAUUCAUCAGAAUUAUCUCAAUUUGAGAACUAUAAAGAAAUUGAUGCGGUCAAUGGAGUUCACCAAUCUGAAUUUUAAAGUGCUCAUUUAUUCUCGUCGCGGAAACAGGAGAAAUUUUAUGAACUGUGAGGGUUUGCCAACUAAAGACGGGCGCAUGGUG